AUCAUUAUCAACCGAAUCCAUAAGUUCAUAUACUAAAAAUAAAAAUUGUAAUAAAAGUAAAAAUAAUCUUUAGAAUUUAAAAAUGUUGACAACGUUAACAAUAAUUGUUAACAUUUUUAGGAAAACUUUAUUGGGUAGUCACCUAUAUUGGAUCGUUUUUUACACUUUGUUAUCUGUAACGAAUUGGUCCAAACUAUUAAUGCUGUAUAUUUGCAUUAAACAAUACCUGAACAUGUAAAUUACAAUUUUUUUUUUAUUAUUUAAAAAUGGUUCAACAUAAGUCUGAUCAGUUGCUUAAUUUAAACCAAAUGAAUUUUCAAUUCAACCAUUGUAUUACAUUCUUAUAAUUAGUAAAAUCUGUCAUCAUCUAACUUAAACAUGUAAGCUUUUAUAUUAACUGAUUUUUAAAAAGUACAAUUUUUAUUUAACAUUUUUAUUUUAUAUAACAAAAUGCCAGUCGACAGGUGAUUUUCUGCUACAUUAUUUACUGGUGGAGCCUCCAAGAGAGAAUAUCCUUGAAACAGAAUGCUUAAAUGUAAUAAUACGUCGAAAUUGAUGAAAAGUUACAAAGUGAUUAUUUAAUAAUACACGUGCUAUGUUUUUUUUUUUAGUCUAUUAUAGAUAAUUGUCAUAAUUUUUAUUUUUUGUGAGA